UCACAAGCAUCCCUAAACAAUGUCUUUGGUAGGCUGGUAUCUGUAAAGAACAUCUGUGCAUAAGAUCAGCUUACAAAUGUGAAAUGGACUUUUCAGCACUGGAGCAGCAAAGGCACAGGACUUCUGAACCUUUAUAAAUUCGGAAUUUCUACUGUCCAGACCAAGAAGACAUAAGGUAUUGUGUGGUGUUUAUAUCCGAAGUUAUGAUACUAAUUAAAAGGAUGGAUGUUUAGGGCCACUUUACAUUAUAUGAAAAGAUCCAUGGAUGAUCCAGUGAGGAUUUUCUGCUAUGGAAAACAGCAUUACUUCUGCAACAGGAAAACAUUCACAUCUGUAUCUUUGCCACAAGCACCCGUUUCCAGACAUGGAGGUUUGAAUUGACGUAUGAUGAAAUUACAACAGCGGUUUUACUUUAUCUACAGGGAACCAAGUAUUAAGGAAGGCUACACAUACUACUGAGAGUUGCUACACUUCACAAGCAUACUGUAAAUGGGCCCCUGAUGUACCAAAGAUGAAAAUGUGGAAGUUGAAGAGAAAAUUCGAGCCAAAAGAGGAUCAAGAAGAUCUACUCACUUCACCAAAACUUCUGCAGAUGAAUAGGAGCUCUCCAUGACAACAACAGGGACAGACCUCACCACCAUACUACUGACAUGUCAUCCUCUGCCAUUUAAGGAGAAGUCCCAUUCCUUCGGCCCGGACAGGAUAUGAGGAAGAUCAACAUUGGAUGUCAGCAUUCAUUGUAGAACCAGCCACUGAGUGUGCAACAUCACCAUAUCAGCAGCCACUCAAUAUGGAGAGAAUGUUAUGCACGGUCAUCAUUUGAUUUUGAACUUUUCUUGAUUUAUUUUCUCCUCAUUAUCCUCAUUUCCUCUCUCUUGUGUUGGUGUUUUUUUCUUAAAGGCUAUAGAGAGACAUUUUCUAUUUGUAAACUGUUGAGAUGUAAAUGAUACUGGAUUGUUUUACCUUUUGACAGUCCUUUAUGAAGUGCCUAUUUAAUAAAGCACCCACUACGUAAAAAUUACUGUAAUAACAAUUAUAAUAAAGCAGACAAGCUUGUAAUUAUAAUUAAUUCUG